UACGUAGGGUGCAAGCGUGUCCGGAAUUAUUGGGCGUAAAGAGCUCGUAGGCGGUCUGUCGCGUCGGCUGUGAAAGCCCGGGGCUCAACCCCGGGCCUGCAGUCGAUACGGGCAGACUAGAGUGUGGUAGGGGAGAUCGGAAUUCCUGGUGUAGCGGUGGAAUGCGCAGAUAUCAGGAGGAACACCGGUGGCGAAGGCGGAUCUCUGGGCCAUAACUGACGCUGAGGAGCGAAAGCAUGGGGAGCGAACAGG
rnacentral:rRNA from 1 species